rnacentral:rRNA from 1 species
AUUGAACGCUGGCGGCAGGCCUAACACAUGCAAGUCGAGCGAGCGGCGGACGGGUGAGUAAUGUCUGGGAAACUGCCUGAUGGAGGGGGAGAAAUACUGGAAACGGUAGCUAAUACCGCAUACCAUCAGAUGUGGCGAGAUGGGAUUAGCUAGGAGGUGGGGUAACGGCUCACCUAGGCGACGAUCCCUAGCUGGUAUGAGAGGAUGACCAGCCACACUGGAACUGAGACACGGUCCAGACCCCUACGGUAGGCAGCAGUGGGUAAUAGUGCACAAUGGUCGCAAGCCUGAUGCAGCAAUGCCGCGUGUGUGAAGAAGUUCUUCGGAUUGUAAAGCACUUUCAGUUGGGAGGCGUUACCAACAGAAUAAGCACCGACUAACUUCGUGCCAGCAGCCGCGGUAAUAC